GCCGCGGUGGCGGAACUGGCAGACGCACAGGACUCAAAAUCCUGCGAGGGCAACCUCAUGAGAGUUCAACUCUCUCCCGCGGCACUA
rnacentral:tRNA from 1 species